GUGUACCCUUGUGUCCAGUCCACCCCAUGUUCACAGAAUUUCUUGCUCAAGUGAUUUUGUGUUCUCUGUUGAAAGAAUAUACUGCCUAAAUGGUAGCUUGGUUAUGAUUUUGUUUUAAAAGCGAUACUUCAUGAAACAAAUAGCAAGGUUGAUGGAUGUAUAAAUGAUACUGGAUCUGUGACUAUGUUGAUGUAUUUGGUUAGUUAAACCAUAAGCCAGGUUUAAGGAAUUUUAUUAUGUAUUUUAGGCUAGUAUUAUACAAAAUUUUAAGGAUAGGAUCAUGCAUAGGUCAAGGAGUAAUUAUAGAUAUUGAUUGUAAUAUUUCCAUAUAAUUCCUCUAUAAAAUCCCAGCAGCUUUUGAGGGUAUAAUCAAGCAAUUCAUUCCAAUUCUUAUCAGAGCCUAAGGUUUUAGUUCUAGCUUUUCCUUUUACUUCCCUUCU
rnacentral:misc_RNA from 1 species